GAUGAACGCUGGCGGCGUGCCUAAUACAUGCAAGUCGAGCGAACAGACGAUGAGCUUUCUCCUCUCACGUUAGCGGCGGACGGGUGAGUCACACGUGGAUAACCUACCUAUAAGACUGAGAUCACUUCGGGAAACCGUAGCUAUUACCGGAUCAUAUAUUUAACCGCAUGGGUCAAAAGAGAAAGACGGUUUUGCUGUCACUUAUAGAUCGAUCCGCGCAUCAUUAGCUAGUUGGUAAGGUAACGGCUUACCAAGGCAACGAUGCGUAGACGACCUGAGAGGGUGGUCGGCCAGACUGGAUCGGAGACACGGUCCAGACGCCUACGCGAGGCAGACGUCUGGAAUAGUCCGCAAUGGGCGAAAGCCUGACGUAGCAACACGGCGGGAGUAAUGAAGGUCUUCGGAUCGUAACGCUCUUCUAUUUGGGAAGACCAUAUGUGCAAGUAGCUGUGCACGUCGUGACGGUAGUUAAACAGAAAGCAACGGCUAACUACGUG
rnacentral:rRNA from 1 species